AUUUGGUGCUAAUAUACAAUUUGACCUAAAAAUGUUGGGGAUAUGUUUUAGCAAUUUCCCGCCAUUACAGUCAUUCGUAUCAUUUUCGCAGCCGGACUAAAUCGGGCUUGUUUUGCUAUUACCCAUACAAAUAGUGAACUAUAGAAUGAGUUGUUUAUUUUAAAAAGCAUGUGAAAUGGAGUUUCGGAAGAGAUUUGAGAAGAGCAAAGGUUACUUUCGGAUCUGAUGUUGAUGUUUUGAUAGCUUUUCACCCACUUUCCUAGAAAUGUCGGAAGAUUACAUAGGCAAACAAAGCCUAUUAAUGGAGAGGCAAUGCAACAUCAACCUAAUGAUGAUACAAAAAAAUUUGGCCUGGAAGAAAGAGUUUACUAUACCUGCUGUAGCUGCUGGACACACUACAGUGGUGAAUGCAUUGCUUGUUACUAUGUGAACUACUGCAACGAAUGUGAUUCGAAGUGAUGAAAACCACACCAGCUGUGCUACUGAAUUUGCCUCAGUUUUGGCCUUUAGAAAAGCGUUAAGAAGUAAGAAGAGAAAAUUUUUGUAAAACAAUCUAGAAAAAGGCCAAAUAUUCCAAAUAUGAUGUGUGAGAGACGAGCCUGGAAAUGAUAACACCCUCUGUUUCAGCUAGUAAGCCAUCUCGACAUUAAAAAACAAAAGACACUACACAUUGGACUAAACAUUCAGCUUUUUAAUUUAUUUCGACACCACAAAAAGACAAGAAGAAAACAUCAUUCCUCUGCUACCUCUGGGGAUCAAAACACCUAACAACACACACCUCCAGAACACUGAAGAGUCCUAUUGUGUUUGAACAGACUACUUCAGGGAAUUUAAUACUGGAAAACACCAUCGACAGACCUUAGCUCAAACUUUUUCAAAAUUGUAAGUUUUGACUUUGCCCGUCGCCCGUCUUCACUUCGCCCAUCUUCACCUCGUCCGUCUUCACCUCGCCCGUCAUUCCGUCAUCGCACCGUGGUAGCUUCGUUUCGCAUCGUGGUCGUCCCGUUUUCGCUUCGCCCGUCGCCCCCGUCACCCCGCCUUC